CGGGGUGGAGUAAUGUCUAGGGAAACUGCCUGAGGGAGGGGGAUAACUGCUGGAAACGGUAGCUAAUACCGCAUAACGUCGCAAGACCAAAGAGGGGGACCUUCGGGCCUCUUGCCAUCGGAUGUGCCCAGAUGGGAUUAGCUAGUAGGUGGGGUAACGGCUCACCUAGGCGACGAUCCCUAGCUGGUCUGAGAGGAUGACCAGCCACACUGGAACUGAGACACGGUCCAG
rnacentral:rRNA from 1 species